AGAUCAAAUGAAUCGACGUUAGUGUCAUUUCUGAUUAUUUUGUGGUAUAACCUUGGCUAUAAAUACCGGAUUUCUUCACCCGUUAACUCAGUCGUUAUAAUGAUUUUCAAGGGUUUAGUCAUAAUUAUUGCCAUUAAUUUCAUGCAAUAUUUUUCAAUAUGUAGUUCUGAAUAUUUUUUUAUAGCAAAAGAUAAAUUAUGUUUUGUUAGUCAAUUAGACAUGAUCCCACCAAAUGUUAUUUGUAAUCCAAAUGAUGAUUACGCUGAAAAUGGUUUGAAUUCAACUCAUUCAUGGAUGGUAUAUGGUAGUAGAAAAUGUAUUGCAAGAAUCGAUACUAUUAUCGAAAUGAAUGACAAUAAUUGUGAAACAGAGCAUUCUACGGCAGCAGUUACAAUUCCAUCUAAAUAUGGUACAGAUAAAAAAGGAAAUCCUGUAAGUCAACAAGAUACAUUCAGUUAAAGUAUUCUGUAAUAAAACAAUUAAAACGAUUGUAUUUUUUAUUUUAAAAUAAACGAAUGAUUCUUCAGUGAAUAUACUUCUAAUAAACUAAGGUCAAUAUAAUCAUAAUUAAAUCUGUUAGGCGAAGGAGAACCAGUUUUAGUUUUAUUUCACGAUCAUUCCCACCUUAACCACAAGAUCGAGCAGUUCAUCUCACAACACCACGAUGUCACGUUUUAUUAUCUCAGCAGUUUUAUUAAGCAUUUUGAUUCAAACUUUUAAAUUUACCGAUGGCCUUACAAUUUACAUUGACCAACAUACAUCAUGUCUUAUUCCUUCUGAUGCCAUCGGACCUUCUAAUUUCCAAUGUGUUAUAGAUGAUGAAUCAAAUGAUAUGUUUAAUUCCACUCAUGCUUGGUUUACUGAAGGAUCGUUAAAAUGUGUUGCUUCUAUUGAAAAAAUAAAGGAAUUAGCUAAAAACACUUGUCACAAAUUAUAUCCAACCACAAUUGUUGUUCCGCCCAGAGCAGGUCUUAAUAGAAAAGAUGGAAAACCUCUCGAGCCAAAAGACACAUUUAAUUAAAGAAGAUUGUAAGGAGAAGAUUUUUGUAGGUAAUAAAUAUUGUUAUAAAUAAAUGAAUAAAAGCAAUUAAAUAUUUAAACUUUAA